GCCUUCCUAAAAACGGUCAAACCACCAUAAGACCAUCAGCAUUAACACCCAUCUUCGCCAAUCUAUCCGCCUCCAUAUUGUAUUCGCUAUCUACAUGAACUAAAGACACGAUUUAGAUAGUUUCUCCAUCUCAAUCAUAAGCAUAGAUCCCAAUCACCCAUUACGAAUCUUCGAAUGGACACCACAGAACUCCUUGAACACCACAACAGACCAUAUUGAUACCUAAGGCUUACAACAGAAUUCACCACCCAAAAACCUAUCCGAUGUCAUCAAAAAAUGGAAGAAAUUUCUCAUGGUCCAGGUCCCACCUCAAUUCUGAUCAACCAAUGGAAAGCCACGGUCAAGAAAAUGGAGCCUGUUGGUAUUGAACACUAGUAUGCUACAUGCAGACUAUAGUAGGCCGCAUGAUGCUGUAUCAUGUCCUCUUGUCGUCCAGAAGAUUCCAACUCUACAAUCAUCCAACAUAUUCUAGAAUCUUAAAAAAUUACGAAAAGGCCUCUGAAUGUGGGAUAAGAACUAAUAAAAAUAAAAGUCAAGAAUCUUAGUUUUGAAAAGGCAAUGAUAGAAAUAUUACUUUCCUUAUGUGAGAAUGUAACAAGAAUGGAAAAUGUAUAUUAAAUAUAACAAUAUCAAAAAGUGUCCGUUAUAGUAAUGUAUCAUUAUUAUAUUUACAAUGAAACAACCACCACAACAUAGUAUGGGGUGUAAUUAUUUUCUCAAAUAGUUUUUUUCUCUCUCUAAAAUUCUAUGUGGUGUAUCAUCGAUCCCAAUCUCAGCUCCCGACGUGAAGCUUGUUCCUCUAUCCGAAGCANNNNNNNNNNNNNNNNNNNNNNNNNNNNNNNNNNNNNNNNNNNNNNNNNNNNNNNNNNNNNNNNNNNNNNNNNNNNNNNNNNNNNNNNNNNNNNNNNNNNNNNNNNNNNNNNNNNNNNNNNNNNNNNNNNNNNNNNNNNNNNNNNNNNNNNNNNNNNNNNNNNNNNNNNNNNNNNNNNNNNNNNNNNNNNNNNNNNNNNNNNNNNNNNNNNNNNNNNNNNNNNNNNNNNNNNNNNNNNNNNNNNNNNNNNNNNNNNNNNNNNNNNNNNNNNNNNNNNNNNNNNNNNNNNNNNNNNNNNNNNNNNAGGCAAAAUAGACACCUCAACAAGUCACUUUCUAAAAACCAAACUAAGUGAAUAAGUUACAAUCAUUUAAAUAACAAUUAUAACAAUUUCUAACCUUGUAUAACCACUAUAAAUAAACUCAAAUACCAACCCCUUAUGGGGCAAUUAUAUAUAAAGCAAGACUAGCUUAGGGAUUACACUUUUACAGUACAAAUUACAUAAACUAUGUCCCAAAGCUUAAAUACAUCGUGCAACUAAUCUAAACAAAAUUAUAAAGAAUAAAAUCAACUAAAAAGGGAAUUAGAAUGUCAAAUUAAAAUAGGAAAGCCACGUUUCGAACCCUUUGUGCCGGGGCCACGCAGUCAGGCCCAAAAAGGACUAAAUUUUGUCCCUUCGGAUUGUACAAAAGUGGUUCAAUCUCACAAUAGUAUCUAAUCCAAAUGGAAAAAAAUUACACACAUUAAAAUCACUUCUUACGAUUUCAACACACCGGCAUUAUCAUCCAAAACAGAAUGCAAAAGGUUUGAAUCGAAUCGGAUAAAGGACAAGAGAGUUAUAACUAAACUACACACGGUGGUCCCUCGGACCACCAAAACAGUCUUGUAUGGAAAGAUUAUGAACCCCCAUAGGUAAAAACGUGAUGAAAAAGUUUCAUAAAUUGAGUGACACUCAAAGAUAAAAUUAUUUGAUGGAUUUGAAGCAAAGUAAUCAAUGGAUACUAUACAUGAUCAUUGAUUCUCAUGCAUAUAGGCUUAUAACUUAUGAAGGACCACACUAUGAAUAAGCAUGAUGAAAAAGAUGAUCAAAUGGGGAUUCUAAGAUCAAUGAAACGAUUGUAAAUUUAAAACUCCAGCAACUACAAAUUCCAAGAAUAUGAUCUUAUGAGAAAAUAAAAUUCAUUGGAGUUUACCUUGAUAAAUGCGCACAAUGGACUUAAGCAUAAGAAAGGAGAACCACCAACAAGAUCACUAUUAAUAGAACUCUAAAAAUUUCCUCUCUUCAAUUUUCUCUUAAAAAACCAUAGAAGAAGGAGGGGAGCGUCGAUUUUCCAAAAUGGUUCAAGAGUUGAGAUAGUUAGGAUUUGAGAUCUCAUAAUGUGCUUUUAUAACAUGGGUAGUAACCUUGGACUCAAACAAUACCUUUGAUGCACUAAUCCAAAGGCACAUGAGAGGUUAAUGUACCUAGCCACCCAUCCCCAUCCAACCACUAGGAUGAAAGGAUGGAAUUUCAUACCAUUAUCACUCACCUUAACCUUAAGUUAUGUCACUUUACCAUUUGUCCUUGGCCCAUGUUUCUGUUCCAAUUGUAUCCAAUAUGACCUUACAAAAGUACGCUUAGUUUUUUUUAAUAAUGUAUUAGAGUAGAUAACCACAAAGGCUAAAGGGCAAAGAAGUAAUUGGCAAAGCUCACACAUGUGAAGAUAUUUUACUUUAUCAAAGCCAAUCAUUUUGUAGAUCUAAAAUUUCAAACUAAUCAAUUUAAAGAUAAUGUCUCAUUCACACAAUUGUGUGAAGAUAUUUUUCAACUCAAAUUUGAAAAUGUAUUUUCUCUUUAAUAUCAAAUAAAUAAAUUAAUUAAACUUCACACAUGCCAUGGAAGACCCAUGUGUGAGUUAAUUAAGAGAUGUGAUAAAAAAGGGACUUUAAUUUAUAACAUUAUAUAACAAAAUAUAACAAUAUAUAACAAUACACCAUAACACAACUCCUUAUAAAACAAGCAACCAAGUGCUAAUCUAGUCCCCCAUCUAGGGAUCAGUGCCCAGCAGGGCGGUGAUCUGAGAAUGAGGCGUUGUGUGCCACGUGGCGGCCCUAUGGCCCUUGGACGCCACAUGGCACUAUCAGGUCAGGACUAAAGUGGAAUUUUAGUCAAACAGUUUGAAAACCCUCAUUUUUUAGCAAAUAAAAUUCUAAAAAAUUCUUUAAAAUUCCCAAUAAAUAUUUAAAGUAUUUUUGAGCAAUGUUUAGAUUUUUCUCAUCAUUAUAAAAUUAGAUAAAAGGUAUAGUGAGAUCUCAAGCUAAUAACUAUAUGUAUCAGAGUACUCUAUUGGGCUAGUCUCGAAUGAUGUUCCGUCGGGUCACAGAUCGACCCAAUAGAUCUAUGUUCCAGAUUCUAAAGCAGGGACAUAUAAUUGGCCAUAUCAAAGUUGUUGAGCUAGAACUUCCAAUCAUUCGGCUCUCAAUGGAUUACAAGUAUACCCCUGUGGGACAUGAUCUAACUCAAUUACAAGAGUCUUCUCAAAGCUCAUGUGCAUGCCAUACAAUGGUCUCUUGUCAGGAUACAUACUCAUAUUCUAUUAGUCUUGACCAUUCCAUAUAGGGCAAAUACUCAAUAAGUACUCGGGUUCUAUUUUUCUCGUUUGGAUUCUCCAAGCCCUGGCCAUUUGGAGCUAAACAUGAGGCUAACUUAUAAUAUCCUGACUAGGAGGUGACCUUCACACCUCAUUGAGAAAUUACUUUCUCAACACGUGAACUCUCGAUGCCUCAUGCGUUCUCGCGGUAAAAGAAUCUAGGCUUCAUUUCGCAAUACGCAAGAUUUCAAUCUCUCAAUCGCUCCCAUUGAAUGAGAGACUAUUGGAAUUUAGGCCUUGAUAGGCCAUAUUUCCAACAUUCUCCCACUUGGCUUUUUGGAGCCUGAAUUCUUAUAUCUCUCUCUCAUUAUCGUUCACAAUAAAUCAAAGCAUGCAUAAUCAUCCAUGGAUUUAUCUUUCACAAGCAAUAGACAAAGUAAUUAUAAUUAUGUCAACCUCCUUAAAGCCAUCCGGUGCACAUGCCUCACAAAAUCAUUUUUCCCCAAGCCUUUGGUUAAUGGAUCUUCAUGCAUAGCCUUAGAUGGAACGUAACCAACUUCUACUUCACCAGCUGCUAUCUCUUCUCUUACUCUAUGAUAUUGAGCUUUAAUGUGCCUUGACUUGCUGUGGAACCUUGGUUCAACUGCCACUGCUAUUACAGCUUGAUUGCUGCACAUGAGUCUAAUAGUUCCAUGUUUUAGAGGGUUGAAGUUAAGAUCAUUAAAGAACUUCUUAAUCUAAAUGGAUUCUAAAGUUGUGGAACUUAAAGCUAUAUACUCGGCUUCCAUGGUAGAUAGGGCUAAAGUAUCUUGCUUCUUGGUGCGCUAAGAAAUGGCACCACCCCCAUAAAGAAAUAGAUAAUCCGAAUUGGAUCUCAAGUCAUCCGAGUCUCCUUGAUAAUCAGAGUCUGUAUAUCCCAAAACUUUAAGCUCACUCACAUUACCAUAGGUUAAUCCAUAAUGAAAUGUUCAUUUCAAAUACCUCAUGAUUCUUUUCAUAGCUUUUCAAUGUUCUAAUCCAUAAUCACUUUGGAAUCGACCAAUCAAGCUUUGGGCAAAAGCUAGAUCAGAUCUAGUUCCCAUGGUUAAAUACACUAGUCAUCCUGCAGCACUCCGAUAAGGGAUCCUUUCCAUCUCAUUUCUCUCAAGAUUAUUGUUUGGUUCCAUAUCGACAUUUAAGUUUCCUCUCCUUUCUACAGGUGUAUCUGUAGGCUUGGAUUCACUCAUACCACUUGCAAAUAUGUAGAUUGAGAUAAUUGAAUAGUGCGAGCUGCUCUAUCUCUUAUAAGAUGAAUCCCUAACACAUACCAAGCCUCUCCCAUAUCUUUCUUAUCAAAAUUACUUGAUAGCAUUGUCAUUGUGUCCCUUAUAUAGUCUAGGGUACUACUAGCUAUUAGAAUGUCAUCCACAUAUAAAGUUAUGAAAGUAAUGCCAGUUCCAUUGGUCUUAUGAUAUACACAAUGGUCGUCCUCAUUUGGUUUGAAUUCGUAUCUAAUCAGGGUUUGGUGGAUCUUGAUGAAUCAUCUUCUUGAAGCUUGUUUGAGACUAUAAAGUGAUUUGCUAAGUUUGUACACGAACUUUUCCUUUUGUUUUACAACAAAACCCUUGGGUAGGUUCAUGUAUGUAUCCUCUUCUAGGUCAAUAUUUAAGAAGGCGGUUUUCACAUCCAUUUGAUGUAAUUCUAGGUCAAGGUAAGUUGUUAUGGAUAUGAUCAUCCUAAUUGAAGGCAUUUUAGCAACAGGUGAAUAGGUGUCAAAAUAAUCUACCCUUUCCUGUUGGGUAAAACCUUUUGCUAUAAGUCUUGUUUUGUAUUUUUCAAUACGCCCUUCGGAGUUAAGUUUCUUUUUUAAUAUCCACUUACAUCCAAUGGAUCUAAGGUUAGGUGGUAAUCGGACUAAUUCUCAUACAUGAUUCUUUAUGAUUAAAUUUAUCUCAUCUUGCAUGGCUUAUUUCCAUAACUUAUGAUCCAGACAAGACAUAGUAUGUAGGUAAGAAUAAGGUUCCUCAUCGGGUUCUUAACUAAUCAUCGCAUAGUCCUCCCCAAAGUAAGUGAAAAAGGUAGGUGGUCUCCUUAUUCUCUCACUUCGCCUAAGUGGGAUGGUUUCAAUUUCUUUGUUAGGCUGAAGCUUAUGGAAGUCUACUCUCUUUUGGGUUGAUUCUCUCUCAAGGAAUUCAUAUUCAAGGAAAUGGGCAUUAAUGCUUUCAAUCACAUUACGAUUCAAGAGGUUAUAAAACCUAACCUAAAUCCCUUCCCAUGACUUGGGUAUCCUAUGAAAACACAUUUUAUGGUUUUAGGAUCAAGUUCGGACCUAUUUUGGGAUGGUAUGAGAACAUGGGCUGAACAUCCCCAAACCUUGAGGUGCUUUAUUGAGGAAGGUCGGCCCAUGAAGAUUUGGCAAGGAGUUGAUUGAAUUACGUUGGUGGGAGUCUGAUUAAACACAUAUGUGACCGUUAGAAUCGCCUCACCCCAAAACUCUAAUCCAAGAUUAGCGGUACUCAUUAUACUUCACACCAUCUUAACUAGGGUCCUAUUCCUUCUCUCGGCAACCCCAUUUUUUUUGGGUGAGUAAGGUAUGGUAGUUUGGUGGACAAUCCCAUAUUGGAUAUAAAGAUCUUGGAAGGCUUGGGAGGUGUAUUCCCCACCCCUAUCUGAUCUAAGGUUUUUGAUGGUUCGACCUAGUUAGUUUUUAACUUCCUCUUUAUAUUGUUGAAAUUUAGUUAUAACCUCACUUUUGUUUCUCAUGAGAUAGGUGUGACUAAAACGGGAAUGGUCAUCAAUGAAUGUUAUGAAGUACCUCAUGUGCCCGAUAGGCACACUCAUAGAUUGACACACAUCCUAGUGGAUUAGUUCCAAUAGGCUAGAGACCCUUUUGAACUUUUGGUGAGACUUCUUUACCAUCUUUCCUUUAAGGCAAACCUCGCAUCUAUUAUGAGAAUUGAUAUUCAUUUUAUCAAGCAAUCAUUCUUUCAUCAUAAUAUGCAUUCUAGAUGGAUUAAUGUGACCUAACCUUAAAUGCCCUAAAGUAAAAUUUUGUAAAUCAUCACCCAAGUAAGCAAACUCCUUUUCAUUUUAAUUUCAUAAAACCCUUGAACCAAGUGGGCUACAAAAAAAAGGUCUCCAUGAAAAGAGCCAUCAUGCACAUAGACAUUUUCCUUCUUGAAUAAGAGCAUAAACCCGGUUUUACUCAUCUUGGAAACCGAGAUGAGAUUCUUCCUCAUCUUCGGUUCAUAGAGGGUGUCCUCAAGCAUGAGAUUCUCACCAUUAUUGAGCUCAACCACAUAGUCCGCCUUUCCUAAGACCCUCUCUAUUUAAUUUCCAAUCAUAUAAAGAUUAUGAGUACCAGUUUUGACAUCAUAAAACCUUCUAAAGCCCUUCAUAGAAUUUGUCACAUGGUCAGUAGCCGCCGAGUCAAGAACCCACACAUCCACCUCUUUAUUGGCAAUCAAAGUCUCAUGGACCACACAAACUCUCUCUGUCCUUGGUCCUCCACCGGUAUUAGGUUGAGGCUUACCGAUAUUGGGUUUAGGAGCAAAAUGAUAGCUUUGUGGAGGAGGAGGAUACCUACAAAACUUUUGAGUAUGCCCAUAUUUCUUGCAUUUAAAGCAUUGCACCUUCGAAUAAUCUUGGCUUGAGGGCCAAACCGACCUCCCACCUACCAUCAUGGGUGUGGGUGGUGGUUUAGGCCUAAAAGGUAUGGGGCUAGUAUGGUUUGGUGGGUAGGCAUGGGUUUUGGGAGGGUAGGGACUAAAUGGGAAAGGGGAGUAGGAUUUUCCCUUUGCUUCCCCUUCCCUUUCCAUUUGCUUUUUCCCUUUCUUUUCUUGUUCUUAGCAUUAUCACUCCCACUCACUCCCACAUUACAUGUAUUCACUAUAGAAGAGAAGAAGAGAUAGGAGUAAUGAGUAAGGGAGUAGAAGAAGAUGAGGGUUGGUGAGAUUUUACCAUAUGGACCAUGGAAGAUGGUCUAUCCAUUGUCAUCAUUCUUUGCUCUUCCCCUUCCAUGAAAAAUGCAAUCUCCUCCACUAUUGUAGGUGCAUAUUUGGCCAUGAAAUUGGCCACAGAGAUCUCCCAUGAGGGUGAUAUCGAAAUACAAACAUUAUCUUUUGUGUCACCUUAACAUAUCAGUGACCGGCUCUCUCACUCAGAAUUCUUGAACUCCCUUAGAUAUUCACCCACUUUGUUGUGAUCAUCCAUUUUGCAACACAUGAGAUUUAUCAUUCUAAUGAUCCUUUGAGCUUCAUUCAAUGAGUCCUAUUUCUUUUUCAUGUUCUCCAUAAUAUCUUCGACACAUACGGAAUUCUCAUACUCCUUAAUAAAGGAAUCACUUCUAGUUGCAAAAAUAAUAUUCAUGGCACUUUGGUUUUUAUUAUGUCAUGUCUCAUAUGAAUCCUUAACAACUUGAGGAGCAUUGAUUGCGGGCGGAUUAGGUGGUCUAGAAGUCAAAAAUAGGAAUAGACCAUCUUCAUGAAACACAUAACCAAAUUUUCUUCUCCAUUCAGAGAAGUUGGUUCUAUUGAAUCUCUCCUCCUUAAGCAAUUUAGUGAGUAUCGAACGGGCUGCCAUGGGUUCCUAUUUGGCACUCUAUAAUCCCUCUAAAGACCCUAAUAAAGGCUGUAAAUGAGCCUAGCCCUGAUACUAAUUGAUAGUGCCAGUUUAAAGCGUCACCGGUCAAAGUUUGUGAAAAUAGGACCUUCAACUGGUUAGGCUUGUCUCGCAAGGCUCAGAUGAAGAGGAGGUAUGCAUUAGCAUGAGUAUCUGGGUCACUGUUCUCAUAGAAUUUGUUUUUAAACUCUGAGAUGACAAACACAGGGGGAAGGUCUUCCAUGCCUCUAAGGGUCUCAUGAACAGAGGCCUUUGGGGGUAGGAUUUCAUGCAUACCCAUCCUCACAAGUAUAUCCUGCAUCACUUUUAAAGUUCGGCAUGUUUGUAGGCCCACUGGUCAGUGGGGUCCCAAACGUGGACUGAUGAGUCGAGAUUUGGGGUAUACAUUGGCCUGCAUGGGCCUGAAAUUGAUAAGUCGCAGUCACCGGGGAGGUUUGAUACACUUGCGCCUGAGGGGCGUACUGUCCCAUGAGUGUCGCCACCGGUUGCGAAAACUGCACGGUAGGUGUGAUCAGAUACACAAGAGGGAUCGAUUGAAGAAUCGGCUGACUCUGCUUUGUUAUGGGUCGACCUAUGUUAUUAGGUUGGCUUUGGACCGACCCAUGAACUGGGGCAUGAAUUGUGUAACCUAAGUCAACAAGAAUGUUGGGGGCUGCCUGGAUGCCUAUCUCGCCUAAGGGUUGGUCUAGAUUGACGCCUCUGCGUAUAGUGUUCAAGACAUCGUGGGCUACACUACAGUGGCUCGAGGUUGGGUUAGAUCCCUUAGACUUAGAUGGUUCUUGAUUUUGAGACCGUUGAGCCCCAGGGGUAUCUUGGUGCUACUUCUGGGCAUCAUUAAAUACAACAUGAAGUUCUUCCCUCAUACGGCUUCUGCUUUGGUUGCCUAAGGUCACACGGCUCCUACUAUGGCUACGUAAGGUUCCCUGUUGGACAAUGCCUGGCCAGACCCCUUGGUUGUUCAGACCAAGAUGGGACCCAAGCUUGGACCUGAGUGUGAACCUGGUUCGGACCUAGGUUAGGCUAGGUAAAAGCCUAAACUUGGAUCAGAGUUUAGAUUGGACCAAAUGUGGGUCCGAGCUGAGAUCUAAGAUCAACCAAUCAAAAAUAAGCAAGCAAGCACACAAAAACGUUUGACUUAGUAAAGAUCUAUGGGUAGGCUUGGCUUGAGAGUGCGUUUCUAACUACUGAAAUGCGGUUAGGAUGAUAUAAGUCCCCGUAGAGGUUCUGGCCUCCUGUUCUAUGAUUUUGCUAGGUUCUACUAUAUGCGGAGUGGCUUUGAGGUAAAGGAUUACAGUGGGGCGCUCACAGUUAAAGUUAUGCGAAUCCCAACCGUCUCGACUCUCAAAGCUGACUUCCCCUCCUGCCGUUAACAUGGAUUUUGGGGGCUUUCAAAAAAUUUGUUUUCUGGUUUUUCAGGAUUCCCAAUCGGUGUGUGCUAUAGUGUGCAAAGAAGCAUGCAAAUGAAAAUAAAUUCAAGCACAUAUGCACACAAUAAGAAAGAAAACAAGUGAGCACUUGGCGCUGAGCGCAUGAGCGAUUGACACUGGUCGCACCUAGCGAUGCGUGCUUCGAGGCGAAACUCGCUCGAGGCACAAUAUAGAUGGAGGGGUGAGGCACAAUGUAGUGAAACCAGGCACAAUUCGUGCUAAGUAGAGCGUGACUCGCGUAGAGGAUGACUCGAACGGGAAAAGGUUCAGGGAGGGUGCAAGCAACCCUCAAUCAGUUUUGUUUUUUUUUUUUUCAAUUUUUUUAUCGUUUUUAAGUUUGAUGAAACACAGUUAAACUAAGCGUGGUGAAAGCAAGAAAAAUAUGGUUUCUGACCAAAUUAACAAACUAAAAAAAAAAAGAAAAAGUCAGGAGUAGGUAGACUUAUCUGAAGCAAAAUACUCUUUUUAUAUUUUUGAAAAAAUUAUUUUGAGCCAAAAAUUGGUGAACAAACACAAAAAGGGCUCUGGAAUAGGUCUGUGGGGUCCUAGAAUUUUUUUGGGACCUCUGUGAUCGGGCGGCACGGACCGUGUCACCCGGGCAGCGCUGGUCGGGUCACACCUGUAGGUUGGGCGGCAUAGGUCGUGUCGCCCAAAAAAAAAAAAAAAUUUUAUUUUUAUUUUUAUCUAAUUUAUAUUGAUGAAAUAAGGCUACUAAAACUUGCAGAAGCAGAAAAAUCUGACUUUUGAUGAAAUAAAAUUAAAACAAAGUGAAAUAGAAGAACAACAUAUAAAACAGACCUAUAUCAAGAAAACUACUUUUUUCGUAUUUUUAAAAAUUUUAUUUUUCUCUGAAAAUUUGUGUACAGCCACAAAAGAGACCCAGAAACCAGCCUGAAAAAUUUGAAAUUUUUUUGAAUUGGGCGAUGCGGGGAACCAGAGAGCGUGUCGCCUUGGACCUGGGCAGCACGCCUAGUGUCGCCCAAAAACUUAUUUUUAAAAAAAAUUUUUUAUAUGUUUUUAUUGUAUAUAUUGAUAAAAAUAAGAUUAAUUUAAACUUGUAGAAACAUCAAAUAAAUGUGUUUUGAUGAAAUUAAAUUUUAAAAAUGUGACAAUAGAUCUAUCAGAAAAGUAUUUGUUUUGUAUUUUUAAAUAUUUUAUUUUAACCUGAAACCUUGGAAACAGUCACAAAAUAGUACCUAAAGAAUUCUUGAAAAGUUUCAAAAUAUUCUGAGAUUUUUGAAAUUUUGACGCUUGAGUGACGCUCGAUUUGCCCCACGGUGGGCUCCAAACUGUUUACCAUGAAAAAUUAGAGAGAUCUUGAAAUGAAAAUUUCUCGGAUUUGACACCUUAAAAAUGACAAAAAUGAAAUAGUAGAGAAGGUUAAGAAAGUGAAGCAAAUCGAAUUUAGAUAUGAGGUCAGAUCUACCCGAAAACGAGCAGAUAUGUUCUCCGAUCUGUGAGAGGGCCAGCAUGAUCCAGAGCAUCCAAAAUGUGAUCUUAAAUAAAAUUAAUAAAAUCGGAUCAAAAUAAAAUUAAAAUAAUGAAAUAAGAAGACAAAAGAAAGAAUUGGUACCGAAUCGGGCUGGAUGGCCAGGCACUUUCGAGCCUCCUGGGGCUUACCCGUAUCAGAACUGGUCCUCUUUUGUUUCUCUGAGUCAGAUGUUUGUCAAAAAAUUUCUUCAGUGUGAAGGCUUUGAUUUAGGGUUUUAUGUCCUAACGGUUGAUCUGGGGUUUCUCUCAGAGGGCUAAGGCUUCCUGACGCAAUUUCCAGGGUUUUCUCUCCUGUAACCCCCUCAGG
rnacentral:lncRNA from 1 species